CUAAAGAAGAAAUCUAGCAAUCUGGCUUGCUAUAUCCAUCUCAGAAUGAUCAUCAUCCUUCUUUACUCAGAUAUCUCAUCAGCUUGGAGGUACUUAAAUACCUACAGGACCAAGGCAUAAACAAUGAUCGUAUUCUAUCAGCCAGUGGACAUAAAACUGGAGGUAUUAGGUCAGCCCACUGGAAUACUACUUUUAGCACAAGCAACAGAAACCAGACUGGCUCAUGUUCUCUCCUUUGGGGAGAGGGAGGUAAAAGGAUGAAGAGGGAGGAAGAGACUUCUCUUCUUGAAGAUUUUUCCUGUUAGUCACAGCACUGAGAAAAAAUAAACUCCAUAUGGAACAGAUCA
rnacentral:lncRNA from 1 species